CCAGCCUGCCCAGUGACAAGAUUUAACGGCCGCGGAACCCUAACCGUGCGAAGGUAGCAUAAUCACUUGUUCUUUAAAUGAGGACUCGUAUCAACGGCAUCACGAGGAUCCUACUGUCUCCCCCCUCCAAUCGGUGAAACUGAUCUCUCCGUGAAGAAGCGGAGAUGUACAUAUAAGACGAGAAGACCCCAUGGAGCUUUAAACCCAACAACACCCGCCCCCUUCCAAAUCCUAUUAUUUACCCGGUGAUUGUUUGUUUGGUUUUAGGUUGGGGUGACCGCGGAGUAUAAGAUAUCCUCCAUGAAAAAAAGCUAACUGCCCUUAUUAGAGAAAGACACUUCCAAAAAAUAAUAAAUUAAUUUUAAAUGAUCCGACAUUCGAUCAACGAACCAAGUUACCCUGGGGAUAACAGCGCAAUCCGUCCCGAGAGCCCCUAUCGACAGGCGGGUUUACGACCUCGAUGUUGGAUCAGGGUAUCCUAGUGGUGCAGCAGCUACUAAAGGUUCGUUUGUUCAACGAUUAAAACCCU
rnacentral:rRNA from 1 species